UGGUCGAGUAGCGCGAUAGAGUCUCUGAUUUCACUUCAGAAACAGCAUCACUGCGACGUACUUGAUGAAAAAAGUGAAAGUUUGAGGUUGCAAUGGCCAAAUACGAGAAAAAGCCAGAGCCCGGAGACCUCAUUGAAAUCUCCCGAGGCUUAUACCAGCACUGGGCUAUUUAUGUUGGUGAAGGUUAUGUGAUUCACCUGGCACCACC